rnacentral:tRNA from 6 species
GCUUAGGUGUUCAGUGUUAAUGAACAACUGCGUCUAGUGAACGCUGCUGAAUCCGUACUCAAUGUCGUCUCGUUCGCAUCGAGAAGGUCAGGGGUUCGAUUCCCCUUAGCUCCA